UACUCGAGUGGCGAACGGGUGAGUAACACGUGGGUGAUCUGCCCUGCACUUCGGGAUAAGCUUGGGAAACUGGGUCUAAUACCGGAUAGGACCGCACUUUAGUGUGUGUGGUGGAAAGUUUUUUCGGUGUAGGAUGAGCUCGCGGCCUAUCAGCUUGUUGGUGGGGUAAUGGCCUACCAAGGCGGCGACGGGUAGCCGGCCUGAGAGGGUGUACGGCCACAUUGGGACUGGGAUACGGCCCAG
rnacentral:rRNA from 1 species